rnacentral:rRNA from 1 species
ACACGACUACAUUAGAUACCCGUGUAGUCCUAGCCGUAAACGAUACUCGCUAGGUGUCGGCCACGGUGCGACCGUUGUCGGUGCCGUAGGGAAGCCGUGAAGCGAGCCACCUGGGAAGUACGGCCGCAAGGCUGAAACUUAAGGAAUUGGCGGGGAGCACAACAACGGGUGGAGCUUGCGGUUUAAUUGGAUUCAACGCCGGAAAUCUUACCGGGACCGACAGCAACAUGAAGGCCAAGCUGAAGACUUUGCCGGAUUUAGCUG